rnacentral:rRNA from 1 species
ACUGCUCAGUAACACGUGGAUAACCUGCCCAAGGGUCUGGGAUAACCCCGGGAAACUGGGGAUAAUACCGGAUGGAUCACUAGUGCUGGAAUGCUUGGUGGUUUAAAGGCAACGCCUUUGGAUGGGUCUGCGGCGGAUUAGGUUGACGCCGGUGUAACGUACCGGCGUGCCUGUAAUCCGUACGGGUUGUGGGAGCAAGAGCCCGGAGAUGGAUUCUGAGACACGAAUCCAGGCCCUACGGGGCGCAGCAGGCGCGAAAACUCUACAAUGCAGGCAACUGCGAUAGGGGGACAUCGAGUGGCAUCCACCUUGGGUGCCUGUCCAACCGUCUAAAAAACGGUUGUUAGCAAGGGCCGGGUAAGACCGGUGUCAGCCGCCGCGGUAAUACCGGCGGCUCGAGUGGUGGCCGAUAUUAUUGAGUCUAAAGGGUCCGUAGCCGGCUUUGCAAGUCCCCUGGGAAAUCCAGCGGCUUAACCGUUGGGCUUUCAUGGGAUACUACAUUGCUUGGGACUGGGAGAGGUAGGAGGUACUCGGGGGGUAGGGGUGAAAUCCUGUAAUCCUCCGGGGACCACCGGUGGCGAAGGCGUCCUACCAGAACAGGUCCGACGGUGAGGGACGAAAGCUAGGGGCACGAACCGGAUUAGAUACCCGGGUAGUCCUAGCCGUAAACGAUGCCCGCUAGGUGUCACGUCGGUCGUGAAUCGUCGUGGUGCCGUAGGGAAGCCGCGAAGCGGGCCACUUGGGAAGUACGGCCGCAAGGCUGAAACUUAAAGGAAUUGGCGGGGGAGCAC